GAUGAACGCUAGCGGGAGGCUUAACACAUGCAAGUCGAGGGGUAACAUGAGGUAGCAAUACUUUGAUGACGACCGGCGCACGGGUGAGUAACACGUAUGCAACCUACCCUGUACAGGGGGAUAGCCCGGAGAAAUUCGGAUUAAUACCCCAUAAAGAUAUUUAGAGGCAUCUUUAAAUAUUUAAAGUUUCGACGGUACGGGAUGGGCAUGCGCAACAUUAGCUAGUUGGUAGGGUAACGGCCUACCAAGGCUACGAUGUUUAGGGGACCUGAGAGGGUGAUCCCCCACACUGGUACUGAGACACGGACCAGACUACUACGGGAGGCAGCAGUGAGGAAUAUUGGUCAAUGGGCGUAAGCCUGAACCAGCCAUCCCGCGUGAAGGAAGAAGGCGCUAUGCGUUGUAAACUUCUUUUCCGGGGGAAGAAAACCCGCUACGAGUAGCGGCUUGCCGGUACCCUGGGAAUAAGCAUCGGCUAACUCCGUGCCAGCAGCCGCAGUAAUAC
rnacentral:rRNA from 1 species